GGGGAUGUAGAUCAAAUGGUAGAGCACUUGCUUUGCAUGCAAGAGGUACGGGAUUUGAUUCACCGCAUCUACA
rnacentral:tRNA from 1 species